rnacentral:misc_RNA from 1 species
GUGAAUCAUCAAAUUUUUGAACGCAAAUUGCGCUUUCUAGCAUCCCGGGAAGUAUGCCUGUUUGAGGGUCAGUAUUAACAAAAAAAUCGGUGUGGUUGCAAAUUGUGACGUUUCCGGUGGGUGGGCUAUCUUAAUUUUUUUGGUUGAGGGUCUUAAAAUUGACCUUUUUUGCGUAUUUUUAGACGUACAUAAAUUUUUUUUUAUUUGUCUUUU